AGAAACAGGAAAUGGGAUUGCAAACCUAGUAGCUGCGCGUGCCGGCUAUUCAGGACUAGCGCAGGACUCUGGGCGACCUCACAUCCCACUCGUGCUGCUGCCCCGGGCACUCGCCUCCCGCGAAAAGUCGUGGGACCACGUCGAAUAUGGGGAAGCCAUUAUUUUACUUGAAGUUUGCUGCAAAAGAACUUAAUAGGAAUGCCAAGAAAUGUGAUAAAGAAGAAAAGGCUGAAAAGGCCAAGAUUAAAAGGCUAUUCAGAAAGGCAAUAAGGAAGCUGCAAGAAUACAUGCUGAAAAUGCAAUCCACCAGAAAAAUCAAGCAAUUGAUUUCUUAAGAAUGAGUGCUAGAGUUGGUGCUGUGGCAGUCAGAGGUCAAAAUGCAGUAACAAUGGGCAGGACUUCUGCCUUGAUGGACAAAUUCAAACACCAGUUUGAAACACUGGAUAUUCAAACACAACAAAUGGAAGAUAAAAUGAGUAGCUCUACAACCCUAAUAACACCACAAGACACAACUGGAGAAACUGGUUAUUUUACCAAGGCUUUGACUGGAAUGGCAUAGUUUCAGGUUGCUUUAAGGAAUCAACUUUGACUUAUAAAGCCAAUAAAUACACCUUGGGAAAACUGGC
ensembl:lncRNA CHMP1B2P charged multivesicular body protein 1B2, pseudogene